UCUCAGUUAGUUGAGUAGCGUGGAUGCAGAAUAACGUGUGGCUUGUGAAAAAUAUGUUAAAAUGGAUAAGAUAAUAAAAGAUAAGGAUGCUCUAAUUAUGAACCUGCAGGCUCAAUUAUUGUUCGUAAUCAGUUCAUGCAGCGAUGGAACUGAACAAUUGUGGGACCGUAUUUGGGCCAAAAAUGGAUGUGGUACGGAAACCCAGAAAUGGCACGAGUUCAACCUAAAACAUGGAUUAGAAUUUUAGUGGGGGGAUCAAGUCAAGUCUGGAAGUGUUACAGAUGGAAGAGUCAGCCUAUAGUUAGAAAAACACUGAGAGUGCAUUACCGUUAAGGUGUGAGGUAAAGUAAUAGAGUAAUGCAAAUUGUCUAAUGAGAAGUACCAUCUUGUGUUAAUGAAUCCGGUACAACAGCAAUCCUUUAUAGUUCUGUCACAGCUAGAAGCCUCAAAUAAUUCUGCUUCUCUGGCUAAACAACUUGUCCUUUACGUUCACAGUGUUGGUGAAACUGGGUACUUAAAUGGCCCUAAAGAUGUUUUAAUUUUGCUGCCGUUGCAGAGAUGAACAUCA